CGCGAUUCGCCCUUGGGGUGCAGCAGGCGCGAAAACUUUACAAUGCUGGCAACAGCGAUAAGGGGACCUCGAGUGCCAGGUUACAAAUCUGGCUGUCGUGAUGCCUAAAAAGCAUUGCAUAGCAAGGGCCGGGCAAGACCGGUGCCAGCCGCCGCGGUAACACCGGCGGCUCGAGUGGUAACCGUUAUUAUUGGGUCUAAAGGGUCUGUAGCCGGCCGGAUAAGUCUCUUGGGAAAUCCAGCAGCUCAACUGUUGGGCUUUCAGGAGAUACUGUCUGGCUCGAGGCCGGGAGAGGUGAGAGGUACUUCAGGGGUAGGGGUGAAAUCUUGUAAUCCUUGAAGGACCACCAGUGGCGAAGGCGUCUCACCAGAACGGACCUGACGGCAAGGGACGAAAGCUAGGGGCACGAACCGGAUUAGAUACCCGGGUAGUCCUAGCCGUAAACGAUACUCGCUAGGUGUCGGCCACGGUGCGACCGUUGUCGGUGCCGUAGGGAAGCCGUGAAGCGAGCCACCUGGGAAGUACGGCCGCAAGGCUGAAACUUAAAGGAAUUGGCGGGGGAGCAC
rnacentral:rRNA from 1 species